GACAGAGGGUGCAAACGUUGUUCGGAAUUACUGGGCGUAAAGCGCGUGUAGGCGGCUCGGCAAGUCGGAUGUGAAAGCCCUGGGCUCAACCUAGGAAGUGCAUUCGAAACUGCAGAGCUUGAGUUCUGGAGAGGAAGGCGGAAUUCUCGGUGUAGAGGUGAAAUUCGUAGAUAUCGGGAGGAACACCAGUGGCGAAGGCGACUUCCUGGCCUGUUCUUGACGCUGAGGCGCGAAAGCUAGGGUAGCAAACGGG
rnacentral:rRNA from 1 species